rnacentral:rRNA from 1 species
UACAGAGGUCCCAAGCGUUGUUCGGAUUCAUUGGGCGUAAAGGGUGCGUAGGUGGCGCGCUAAGUCAGGUGUGAAAUUUCGGAGCUUAACUCCGAAACGUGCAUUUGAUACUGGCGUGCUUGAGGACUGGAGAGGAGACUGGAAUUUACGGUGUAGCAGUGAAAUGCGUAGAGAUCGUAAGGAAGACCAGUGGACGGAAGGCG